CUUCCUUUAUCUAUGACCCCAUAGGUUCAAUUCUGUCUGGUAGUAAGAUAUAUCAUGAUCUCUAUCAUGGGUAUCACUGAAACCCUUUUCAGUGGAUCGGAAUAGUUUCACUCUAACUCGACAAGGAUCAUUGAUCCAAAAUGAUCCUAUUGAGGUCACACAAUCUACCAGUGACAUCUAGCAAUAUGUAGUGAUAAUCCAGCAAAAUCGAAAUAGAACCUCUAAGUGCAGUUAAUGUAUGAUACAGUCCCU
rnacentral:lncRNA from 1 species